GAGCUGGUUGGCGGCUUUCACGGUCUGGCCCGCUCCGGACGGGCCCACGUGCACGAUCGUGGUGCCCAGCACCCGGAGCACCUCCCGGGCCGACUCC
rnacentral:tRNA from 1 species